UACGUCAGCGGCAGACGGGUGAGUAACGCGUGGGAACAUACCUUUGGUUCGGAACAACACAGGGAAACUUGUGCUAAUACCGGAUAAGCCCUUACGGGGAAAGAUUUAUCGCCGAAAGAUUGGCCCGCGUCUGAUUAGCUAGUUGGUGAGGUAACGGCUCACCAAGGCGACGAUCAGUAGCUGGUCUGAGAGGAUGAUCAGCCACAUUGGGACUGAGACACGGCCCAA
rnacentral:rRNA from 1 species